rnacentral:rRNA from 1 species
CUCUUCGGACCUUGCACUAUCGGAUGAACCCAUAUGGGAUUAGCUAGUAGGUGGGGUAAAGGCUCACCUAGGCGACGAUCUCUAGCUGGUCUGAGAGGAUGAUCAGCCACACUGGGACUGAGACACGGCCCAGACUCCUACGGGAGGCAGCAGUGGGGAAUAUUGCACAAUGGGCGCAAGCCUGAUGCAGCCAUGCCGCGUGUAUGAAGAAGGCCUUAGGGUUGUAAAGUA